GUUGCUGUCGGCGCCUCGGGUCUCCGUGUCCGCCGCCAAGCGUGGACCGUCAAGCUGCAGGAAACGCUCCGCUCCUUCCGCUCUGUUGAAAAAAACAAAACGAAUUGCAAAAAUUGAGUGAUGACUGAAUCCAGAGAUUGGAACCAAGAGCUGCACUGGGGGUUGCCUUGCCGGAUUUGUGGCCGCAGCAUUUUCUACUCUAUGCAACAACAAAUCCACGUGUGUAAUCUGCCGCUUGUCAGCCUCGACGCUCUGUUGGCCGUUUCCUUUUCCUGCUAGUUGGACUUCACUGCCUGGACACCAGGAAACAGAAAUUUAUCCUAGAAGUGUGUGUUUUAUGUUUAUUUUUUUCCACUGUUACUGUUGGUUAAAUAUUUACCCAAAACUGAAAGCAAGCAAGAUAUGUUUUCUUAGCAAACAUUUUUAUAUUUUCUAGUAUGAUUCAUUUGCAAGGGUUAUUAGGGCUCAAUAUCUGAUACUUGUCUGUCAGGGAUGUUUUUUUGUUUUUAUGAGUAAUUAAAUCCAAAUUUGAUUAGGAUUGCUUGUGUUAGCGUGAACUUGGUUAUUGCUGGUCUUUUCGGGCAA